rnacentral:lncRNA from 1 species
CAAGAUCUCACUAUACUGGCCAGGCUGUCCUUGAACUCUUUUUUUUUUUUUACUAUUAUUAUUUCUUACAUAUAUCACAAUAGAGGAGUGCAUUACGUUCAUAAUUUUUUUGCAUUACAAUUCUUAAUACACCUUUAUACCACAAUUUAUCAAAUCUCUGUAUAUAAGGUAUGUUGACACCAAAUUCACAUCUUCAUACAUGAAUUUUGUAUAAUGAUGACCAUCUCCUUCCACUAUCCUUGCUAUUCUCAUUCUCCCUCCUUUUCCCUCCCACCCCUAUUCCCUAUCUAGAGGUAAUUUUCCACCCAUACUCUCCCUCCCUACCCCACUUUGAGUCACCCCCCCUUAUAUCAGAGAAAACAUUCGGCAUUUGUUUUUUUGGGAUUGGCUAACUUCACUUAGCAUAAUCUGCUCUAAUGCCAUCCAUUUCCCUGCAAAUGCCAUGAUCUUAUUAUUUUUUAGUGCUGAGUAAUAUUCCAUUAUGUAUAAAUGCCACAUUUUUUUAUCCAUUCAUCCACUGAAGGACAUCUAGAUUGGCUCCAUAAUUUAGCUAUUGUGAAUUGUGCUGCUAUGAACGUUGAAGUGGCUGUGUCCCUGUAGUAUGCUGGUUUUAGGUCCUUUUGGUAUAGUCUGAGAAGAGGAAUAGCUGGGUCAAAUGGUGCUUCCAUUCCCAGCUUUCCAAGGAAUCUCCAUGUCCUUGAACUGUUGAACUCCUGAUCUCAAUUGAUUUUCCUACCUCAGGCUUCCAGGUAGCUGAGACUAUGGACAGAGGCCCUCCAUGCCUGACAUUCUGACUUUUUAUUACAUCUAUCUAAUUAAUGGAUGUAAGGAAGUAUCUCAUUGUGAUUUUGUUUGUGGAGCUGGGGAUUGAAUCCAGGGCCUUCUGCAAGCUAGGCUAGUGCUUUACCACAGAAUUAUAUCCCCAGCCAAAUCUUUUAACAUUUUUAAAUGUUUUUUAAAAAUUUGAAACAAGGUCUUUGUAAAUUGCCCAGGCUGGCCUCAAACUUGUGAAUAUCCUGCCUAGCCUCCAGAGUAGCUGAGAUUAUAGGUUCAACCACACCCAACUUCCAGUUGGAUCAUUUUAAAUCCAUUCUAUAAAUAUCUGCCUUUGAUUUUAGUGUUUGGUCCAUUUACAUUUAAUAUAAUUACUAAUAAUGUAAGAUUUACAUCAGUAAUCUUGCUAUUUGUUUUCUGUGUGUCUUAUGCUUAUUUUUUGUCUUCUAUUUCCCCAUUACUGCUUUCUUUUGUUUUUUGUAUGUUCUGUUAUAUUUUCUUAAUUACUUUGUUGUUUCUUUUAUUUUCUAUUUUUAAUUAUUUUCUUAGUGGUUGUCUUAGGGACUACAAUUAACCUCUUAGCUUGAAAACAAACUCCCAGACCCAGUGGUACAUGGGAUGAUGAGACAGAAGGAAUGCAAGUUGGAGACCAGCCUGAGCAACUUAGUGAGACCCUGUCAAAUCUAGUUCAGGGCUGGGUAUGUAGUUCAAUGGUACAGCAUAUGCUCAGCAUUUGCAAGGCCUUGGGUUCAAUUGCCAUAACCACAAAACAAAACAACAAACCCUCCUUCAGAUUAAGGCCAGCUUAAUUUUUGUAGUAUACAUGCUUUUUCCCCCCUGAUAAACCAUUUCUUUUCCCUUCCUUUGUGCUAUUACUGAUAUACACUUAUCUUUAUACAUUGUAUACCCAUCAAAACAAGUUUUAUAAAUAUUGCUUUAUGUAGUUGUUCCUUAAAUUAGAUAGGAAAAUAAAAGUUACAAAUAAAAAUACAUUUAUACUGGCUUUUAUAUUUGCCUAUGUAUUUACCUUUAAUGGUACGCUGUGCUUCUUGAAUUUAUUUUAAGCUAUUGUUAAAAUUUUUUAAACUAUUGAGCUUACAUCUGCUAUUGACUUCAGAUAUUUCUCCGUUUCAAUAGUUUUUGUAUUGUAAUUAUCUAAAGUAAUGUUGCUUAGUGGAACUAAUGGAUUUUGAUCAAAAGUUCUAGAGUCUACUAAUGGCUUUCAGUCCAUUGACUGAUUUUAUAAUCUGGAUUAAGCCAUGUAGUCACUAUCUAGACUUCAAUUUCCUUGACUCAAAAGUGUCUCCACAUUUGACACUGUAGAACUGCUGAUUUCAAAUGAUACAUGUUCCCAAGUAUAUGUUCUAUCACAGAUUAGAGAAGUUCUUUCAUAAUCUAGUCUACCAGAAAAAAAGGUCAAAAGCUUUAUAUAAUAUUAUCAAUUAGUGCUCCAACAAUGAGAGAAAUUAUUUAGGAAAAAAAUAAAAUAGAAAACCUACUUCUGAUGACCUAAUGCUAUUUGCAAUAUGCUGAAAUAAAAAAUCCUUCAUCUUGCAAAUUGCUUUCUGGGGACAUUCUAUGAAAACAAAUAUAACUGAAAGAAUCCUCUUAACAAUAUACCUGUUAACAAAUACCCAUUUAUUUUAAAAAGUAUAAUCAUAGCCUAGCAUAAGGAUCAGAUAUACCUGAUUCUCUAGAUUAGAUUUUUUAAACAUUUUUUGUAGUUGUAGAUGGACAGAAUUCCUUUAUUUUAUUUGUUUAUUUUUAUGUGGUGCUGAAGAUUGAACCUAGUGCCUCACACAUGCGAGGCAAGCACUCUACCACUGAGCCCCAGCCACAGCCUCUAGAUUAGAUUUAAUGUGUUAUUUUCCUGUUUCACUGGGUCUGAGGUUGACUAUUCCUUUUUUUUUUUUUUUUUUUUGGUACCAGGGAUUGAACUCAGGGGCACUUGACUACUGAGCCACAUCCCCAGUCCUAUUUUUUUAAAUAUACCUUUAUUUAUUUAUUUUUAUGAGGCGCUCAGGAUCAAACCCAGGGCCUCACACAUACUAGUCAAGUGUUCUACCAUAGAGCCACAACCCCAAUCCCCCAUCCCUAUUUUUUGUAUUUUAUUUAGAGAGAGGGUCUCACUGAGUUGCUUAGUGUCUCACUAUUGCUGAGGCUGGCUUUGAACUCGCAAUCCUCCUGCCUCAGCCUAGCGAGCUGCUGGGAUUACAGGCGUGCACCACCGCACCCAGCCUAUCAUUUUUUCCUAAUAUUUAUUUUUUAAUUGUAGUUGGACACAAUGCCUUUAUUUUAUUUAUUUUUAUGUGGUGCUGAGGAUUGAACGUAGGGCCUCAAACAUACUAGGCGAGAGCUCUACUGCUGAGCCACAAUCCCAGCUCCCUAUCAUUUUUUUUUUAAGCAGAAAAUAGUCAUAUUCACCUUGGAAAUGAUUUUAGCUAGUCAAAUAUUAACUUUUUAGGGAUAUCACUUAAUUCCUACAAACCAAUGACCUAUAAAAUAUUCUGGCUUUUUUUUUUUUUCCUUUUCUUUUGCGGUACUAAAGAGUGAACCUAGGGCCUCACAUAUACUAGGCAAAGGCUCCACAACUGAGCUACAUCCCUAGAUCUUGUUUUGGCCAUUUUUGUUGACCUCAUUAAUAAAAGAGAGAAAAAAAAAAGAUUCCUUUAUACCUAAAGCCAAAGGUGAAAUUCUUCAUUAUAGACAUUUGAAGAUUGAAUUUUAGCAGGGACAUCAGUUACACCUAGAAAAACAAGGUAGUAGUUAUUUGUGAGUUUUGGCUUUUGCUCCUGUCCAACUUGGAAACAUCUUUCAUAUUCAGGUUUUAUUGGUUAAUGAUGUUUAUUGGUUAAUGAUCAGCAUAAUUCCUAAUUAUUAAAGAAAGAGUAAGUCAAAGUAGAUGACCUGGUUAGUUAUGUACUGGUAUGAUUGAAAACUUACUAGGCAUUUGAUAAUAAAGAAUUCACUUUGUCCUGCCAGUUUAGGAGGAAAAAGAGGCUAGACUGACUGUAUUGUGAUCUGCGUAACCACUGUGCAAUCUUCCAUGCCAAAGUUGGUGGUAUAGCACCUUGGAAGAGCACUUGUACAGUGUGGGUGAAGCGCUGAGUUUGAUCUCUCGUAAAACAACAACAACAAAUAAACAAAUAAAUAAAGGAAAAAUAAUUUUCCAUCUGAUCCUAUUUUAAUGGGUAUCUAGCUUUUGCUUUAUGCUCUUCCAGGUAUUUAAAACUAUCCUUUAUACCAAAUUAUAUUGUUAUAUUAUGUGCAUAUAUGAAUGUGUAACCACAAAUACCACUAUUAUAUAUAAUUAUACACCAAUUUUUAAAAAAGAAAUUUUUUUAAAAAUUAAAAUAUUCCUUGUAACCAAGUAAAAAUGAAACAUAUUUUGGUCUUCUUUCACACUCAAAAGAAGGUUUAGGGCUGGGCAUGGUGGUGCAUGCCUAUAAUCCCAGUGGCUUGGGAGACUGAGACAGAAGGAUUGAGGGUUCAAAGCCAGCCUCAGCAAUGGCAAGGCAUUUAGCAACUCAGUGAGACCCUGUCUCUAAAUAAAAUAUAAAAUAGGGCUAGGGAUGUGGCUUAGUGGUUAAGUGCCCCUGAGUUCAAUCCCCAGUACCCAAAAAAAAAAAAAGGGAGGGGGGCUGGGGGUACCAUAAAUAAAUAAAUAAAUAAAGGUCAUUGAAACUAAAAAAAAUUAAAAGGGGUUGCAAUCCUCUGAGAAGGAAAUGAAGAAAACUACCCCAUUUACAAUAACCUCGGAAAAAAAAAAUAAGAUACUUGGGAAUCAACAAAAGAGGUGAUUCAAAUCAAAGAAGACCUUAGAAGAUGGAAAGAUCUAUCUUGCUCUUGGAUAGGCAGAAUUAAUAUUAUCAAAAUGACCAUACUACCAAAAGCACUAUACAGAUAUAAUGCAAUUCCAAUCAAAAUCCCAAUGGCAUUCCUCAUAGAAAUAGAAAAAGCAAUCAUGAAAUUCAUCUGUAAAAAUAAGAGACCCAGAAUAGCUAAAGCAAUCCUUAGCAGGAAGAGUGAAGCAGGUGGCAUCGCUAUACCAGACCUUAGACUAUUCUACAGAGCAAUAGUAACAAAAACAGCAUGGUAUUGGCAUUAAAACAGACUGGUAGACCAAUGUUACAGAAUAGAGGACACAGAGACUAACCCACAAAAUUAAAAUUAUCUUAUAUUAGACAAAGGUGCCAAAAACAUGCAUUGGAGAAAAGAUAGAAUCUUCAACAAAUGGUGCUGGGAAAACUGAAAAUCCAUAUGCAACAAAAUGAAAUUAAACCCCUAUCUCUCACCAUGCACAAAACUCAACUCAAAGUGGAUCAAGGACCUAGGAAUAAACCAGAGACUCUGCGUCUAAUAGAAGAAAAGUAGGUCCUAAUCUUCAUCAUGUGGGAUUAGGCCCCAACUUCCUUAAUAAGUCUCCUAUAUAGUGCAAGAAUUAAAACUAAGAAUCAAUAAAUGGGAUGGAAUCAAACUAAAAAGUUUCUUCUCAGCAAAAGAAACAAUCCAUGAGGUGAACAGAGAGCCUACAUCCUGGGAGCAAAUUUUUAACCCUCAUACAUCAGAUAGAGCACUAAUCUCUAGGGUAUAUAAAGAACUCAAAAAGUUAAGCACCAUAAAAAUAAAUAACCCAAUCAACAAAUCGGCCAAUGACCUGAACAGAUACUUCUCAGAAGAGGAUAUACAAUCAAUUAACAAAUAUAUAAAAAAAUGUUCAUCCAUCUCUAGCAACUGGAGAAAUGCAAAUCAAAACUAUUCUAAGUUAUCACCUCACUCCAGUCAGAAUGGCAGCUGUUAUGAAAACAAACAACAAUAAGUGUUGGCGAGGAUGUGGGGAAAAAGGUACACUCAUACAUUGGUGGUGGGACUGCAAAUUGGUGUAGCCAAUAAAGAAAGCAGCAUGGAGAUUCCUUGGAAAUCUGGGAAUGGAACUACCAUUUGACCCAGCUAUCCCUCUCCUCGGUUUAUACCCAAAAGACUUUAAAACAGCAUGCUACAGGGACACAGCCACAUCAAUGUUUAUAGCAGCACAAUUCACAAUAGCUAAACUGUGGAGCCAACAUAGAUGCCCUUCAGUGGAUGAAUGGAUUUUAAAAAAAUGUGGCAUGUAUACACAAUGGGAUUUUACUCAGCAAUAAAAGAGAAUAAAAUCAUGGCAUUUGCAGGUAAAUGGAUGGCGUUGGAGAAGAUAAUGCUAAGUGAAGUUAGCCAGUCCAAACAAACAAAUGCUGAAUGUUUUCUCUGAUAUAAGUGAAGCCAGAUUUAAAAUUAGGUAGUUAGUGUAGUUAGGUAAAUCGGGUCCAAUAUCGAGUGAAAUCUAAAAUGGAGGCCAUGCUGACAAUGAUUCCGGGAAACGCAGGACAACUCAUGGAAUGUUAAUGAAGUCUCAGAAAGGCCCUAGGCCAAAGUCCACCCCAAAGAAAUGUUAAUGGAACCCAGGAAACAGCCCCCAACACAUUUGGAGAUAGCCCAUCCCAAGAAGUGAUAAUGAAGUCCUUCCUGCCCAGACUACUUGUUUGGCCCACCUGUGUCCUAACCCUUCCCCCUUACAUUCCAUCACCAAAACUAUAAAAUGGGGAGACAACCGCACUUCCAUGGAUUCCACCUCUUGGGUCCCCUUCUUCCUCCGGGAGAAGUCUUUUCUGCUGUCCUUUAAUAAAAUUCUAAUUUCUACUCUGACCUUGCCUCUGCGUG